UUGAUUCAGCCAGAAUAACAAAGUUUUUUGAGUUUGUAUGCAUUCUGAAUAGGUUUAGCUACAUUGUUCUGAAACUGCAUUACUGAUUUUCUGAUCGUAUGUUAGUUAAUGGAUAGGCACAAGGAUAUACUGUCGUCUUCUGUGAAUAAGAAUUUACUGAAUGAACAGGAUGAACUUGAAACACACUCAAAGCCAGAUAGCAUCUCCGUUUCUGUCUUUUUUGGUGGGGAUCGGAGCAGUGACCCUAGAGUGAUUGCUGAACCUAAUGUGAUCUUGACCACACACAGUGUCUUAACGGCUGCUUGAUGGGGAGAAGAGCAUUUUCCACAGAGUUGACUGGUACAGAGUGGUUUUGGAUGAAGCUCAUACCAUCAAGUCCUAUAAAACUCUAGGUGCCCAGGCUGCCUUCAAAUUGUCAUCCUAUUGCAUGUGGUGUCUUACUGGUACCCCUCUUCAGGUGGCAAAAACUGAUUCAGAAGCCAUAUGAGAGUGGUGAUUAUAGAGGGAUAAAGCUGAUCAAGGCUAUUUGGAGGCCACUAAAGCUCUACUAUUUACAGACAGAAGUGAUUAUCAUUUCUUUUUAUGGAAAUAUGGUUAUGUGUUACAUCAAGCCUUCUCCUUCUAGAUUUAGACUGACCAGAUAUGUAGCUCAUGAAAUAAUCACUGCCUAUGGAUGAAGCUCUCAAUAUUGACAACCUCAACAUCAACAAUCUCAAGAUUAAUGACUGACAAUCUACUUGUUGUGUUAUUUUUAAUUGUACCUUUGCUACACCGACGA